rnacentral:rRNA from 1 species
AUUGAACGCUGGCGGCAUGCCUUACACAUGCAAGUCGAACGGUAACAGGUUAAGCUGACGAGUGGCGAACGGGUGAGUAAUGUAUCGGAACGUGCCCAGUCGUGGGGGAUAACUGCUCGAAAGAGCAGCUAAUACCGCAUACGACCUGAGGGUGAAAGCGGGGGAUCGCAAGACCUCGCGCGAUUGGAGCGGCCGAUAUCAGAUUAGGUAGUUGGUGAGGUAAAGGUUCACCAAGCCGACGAUCUGUAGCUGGUCUGAGAGGACGACCAGCCACACUGGGACUGAGACACGGCCCAGACUCCUACGGGAGGCAGCAGUGGGGAAUUUUGGACAAUGGGCGCAAGCCUGAUCCAGCCAUGCCGCGUGCGGGAAGAAGGCCUUCGGGUUGUAAACCGCUUUUGUCAGGGAAGAAAAGGUUCUGGCUAAUACCUGGGACUCAUGACGGUACCUGAAGAAUAAGCACCGGCUAACUACGUG